GACGUAGGGGGCCAGCGUUGUUCGGAAUUACUGGGUGUAAAGGGUUCGUAGGCGGUGCGGCAAGUUGGGAGUGAAAUCUCUGGGCUUAACCCAGAGGCUGCUUCCAAAACUGCUGUGCUUGAGUGUGGGAGAGGCGCGUGGAAUUGCAGGUGUAACGGUGAAAUGCGUAGAUAUCUGCAGGAACACCCGUGGCGAAAGCGGCGCGCUGGACCACUACUGACGCUGAGGAACGAAAGCUAGGGGAGCAAACAGG
rnacentral:rRNA from 1 species